CAAUGGGGAACACUUAUGGACUGUGUGGUAAUGACAGAUACAAAUACCGAGCGCUCCAGAGGCUUUGGGUCUGUCACGUUUGCCACUGUGGAAAAGGUGGAUGCAGCCAUGAAUGCAAGGCCACACAAAAUGGAUGGAAGAGUUGUAGAACCAAAGAGGGCUGUCUCAAGAGAAGAUUCUCAAGACUUGGUGCCCACUUAACGGUGAAAAAGAUUUUUGUCAGGGGCAUUAGACACUAAAAAACAUCAUCUAAGAGAUUAUUUCGAACAGUAUGGGAAAACUGAAGUGAUUAAAAUCAUAACUGAUCAAGGCAGUGACAAAAAGAGAGCCUUUGCUUUUGUAACGUUUGAUGAUCAUGACUCUGUAGACAAGACUGUCAUUCAGAAAUACCAUACUGUGAAUGGCCACAACUGUAAAGUAGGGAGAGCUCUAUUUAAGCAAGAGAUGGCUAGUGCUUCAUCCAACCAAGAAGGUCAAAGUGGUUCUGAAAACUUUGGUGGUGGUUAUGGAGGUGGUUCUGGUGGGAAUGACAACUUUGGUUGUGGAGGAAACUUCAGAGGGUGAGGUGGCUUUGGUGGCAGUCAACAGGGUGGUGGAAAUGGGGAUGGCUAUAAUGGAUUUGGUAAUGAUGGAAGCAACUAUGGAGAUGGUGGAAGCUAUAAUGAUUUUGGAAAUUACAACAAUCAAUCUUCAAAUUUUGGACCCAUGAAAGGAGGAAAUUUUGGAGACAGAAGCUCUGGCCCCUGUGGUGGUGGAGGCCAAUACUUUGCCAAACCACAAAAGCAAGGUGACCAUGGUGGUUCCAGCAGCAGCAGUAGCUAUGGCAGUGGCAGAAGGUUUUACUAUGUUUACUGCCAGGAAACAAGGCUUAGCAGGAGAGGAGAGCCAGAGAAGUGACAGGGAAGCUACAGGUUACAACAGAUUUGUGAACUCAGCCAAGCACAGUGAUGGCAGGGUCUAGCUGCUACAAAGAAGACAUGUUUUAGACAAUAAUCAUGAGAUAGGAAGAGA